rnacentral:piRNA from 1 species
UGGGAGAAGUGACCUCAGUCUUCUGACCAA